rnacentral:rRNA from 1 species
CCCUUAGAUGUUCUGGGCCGCACGCGCGCUACACUGACGAAUGCAACGAGCUUAUAACCUUGGCCGAAAGGUCUGGGUAAUCUCCAAAUUUCGUCGUGAUGGGGAUAGAUUAUUGCAAUUAUUAAUCUUCAACGAGGAAUGCCUAGUAAGCGCAAGUCAUCAGCUUGCGUUGAUUACGUCCCUGCCCUUUGUACACACCGCCCGUCGCUCCUACCGAUUGAAUGGUCCGGUGAAGCGUUCGGACCGUGGCCUUUGGACGGUUCGCCGUCUGUUGGCUGCGGGAAGUUCGUUAAACCUUAUCGCUUAGAGGAAGGAGAANUCGUAACA